CUCUCUCUCUCUCUAUUAUUUUUGUACUGCUUGGAUCCGAGAGAGUUUCUCGCCGUGCUUUCACUUUCUCAGUUUCUUCGAGAAAACAAGAGAGAUUCUCGUCUGUUUUGCUUGCCAUUUCGAGAUCAGAGUCUGGUCCUGCUUCCAAAUCCUUCAUUGCUGCUUUCCUUAGGUCAAUGUAGCUCGUGAACGAGUUGGUCAUUAGAUCAUUCAUCUUUUCUCCUAGAAUCAGCAACCAAUCAAAACGAAAGAGAGAGAGAGAGAGAAAGAGGUCAAGUGAUAGACAACAUAAUUCUGUUUUUUUUGAGAGAAGAGAAAGACAAAUGAUGAAGCUUGUGCGUUGUGACUAAAGGCUCUAUGAAUAAACUCAAAGGGAAAAAAAUAGCCGUUACGCUCUUCCUUCCUCCCCAACGACUAUAUAUUUCUUUUUUUUUUAAUUAAUUGACCUUUAUUCGUUGAAGAUUUCGAAACGGUAAAAGAAAAUCUAACACUACUAAAAGGAAAAUAAGCAGAGCAUACAUGAUGCCACGUCGGAUUUUUUAUUUGGCCAAUCAGGUUCUUUUUUUUAACACGUCAGACUCGCUUUUUUCUUUUGCCCGAAGUCGAGUAAGAGUUUUGGUGGGCUUGCUGAUUUCUCUUUGGGCUUUAAGGGAUUGUGAUUCGGGCUUCGGUGUGAUUUUUUUGUAUCGCGAGAAGAAUCAUUUAGGUGAGCCGACAUCUAAACGAGAAGCUUCUCCUCACCAUUAUCGCUUCGUGUUCUCCGAUCAAAAAGAGAACCGUAGACUCCAUCGAUUCAAUCCUAAGCUAUCAAUAGUUCCGUUUCGAUCAAUCAAUACCCCUUCAUUAUGAUUUCGUUUCACCUCCCUCUUUUCCUCCUCUUAUAUAAUUGAUCUUCUUCUCCGUAGAAUGCAAAACCCUAGAAAAACUCAGAUCUCAAGAUAUGGCGAUGAAACGAAAUGGAAAGUCUCCUGCGUCUUCCGAGUCUGACGAAUCAGUGAUGUUCUUCAGAGAUGUCUCUCUCGGUCCCCAUGAAACCCGGUUGCGAUUCCGACUCAUCCAUUUCUGGGAGGCUCAGAACCCGGUGAAGAAGACCCUUAUUGGUCUGGAAAUGCUUCUCAUCGACGAGCAGGUACGUCAAUUCAUAAAAUAGUUCCUAGACCUUGAGAUCGAUGUGUGUUAGGGUGCAUUAGUUAUGUUAGAUUAGUUAAUUAAAUUUUGAACAGUGAUUUUGCCGUUUCUUUAAACUUGGAAGGUGAAUCUAGGGUUAAUUAGUUAGGAUAAAAAAACUUUUAAAAUUGGUUUUGACGUUCUCCUGGUAUUGUAUUUGUUUGAAUCUUGAGAUUCUUUCCCGACUAUAUCAAUUGUUACUAGACCGUGCGAUCCGUGUCUGCGUUCAUUAGUUAUGUUAGAAUAAAGUUAAUUUAACUUUGAGCUAUGCUUUCACGUUUCUUUGAAUUUUGAAUGUUAAUUAAACUUUGAGCUAUGUUUUUGACGUUUAUGAAAAAAUUUGAAGACAAAAUUAGGGUUAAUUAGUUACGUUAAACGUUAAUAAGAUUUUGUAGUUUGAUUUUGUCAUUUGUUUAUACGGUUGUUUAGUUAGUUAUUAAGGUUUGGGAUCGUAUUUGUUUAAAUCCGAGGUUUUAUUCUGAUUUUGUGUUUUUCUUAUUAUUUUUCCGACAAUAGGGAACUGUCAUUCAAGGAUUCAUCCCACCAGGUCGUAUUAAGAAAUACCUGCCUGAGAUGAAGCGAGGUUCAGUUUACGAACUCAUCAACUUCUACGGAUCGAAGAACAAACCGAUGUAUCGGGUUGCUGAUCUUAUCGCAACCGUGUCCUUCGCAUGGAACUCUGAGUUGUCGGUUCUUCACGACAUUCCAAUCCCUUUUGAUGAAGACCGUUUCAGGAUGCAUUCGUAUGAGGAUUUUGAGGCCAACUGUGAUAUCAAAGGUGACCUCUACGGUAAGAAUUCUAAUUUUACUAUAUUUAUAUUUUGAUGUUGUUUUGGCCUAUCUUCCUGUUUGCUAAAGAAUUGUAGAAUUUUGUUCAGUUAUGUGAUUAGUUCAAGCGUUUUUUUUUUUUUUAAAUGAUUAGAUAUCUGAGUUAUGUUCUUGAUGAUAAAUGUUAUAGAUAUUCUUGGCCACAUGAAGCUGGUUGAUGGACAGGCUCUUACCGAGCGUCCCACCAUUGAUGAAGCGAAGCUCGCUACCACUCGGCACAUUAUGGUUCACGUGCAAUCACAUGAGUAAGUGUGUUCUUCUAUUUUCAAUAAACCAUAUCUCUUUAGUUCAUAAGGUUCUUAAGUCCCUAAGAUAUUAUUUUUCAGAGGACCUGUUAUGAAGCUUUACCUCUGGGACCAGGCAGCAACGGACUUCUGCAAGAAGUUUAAGUCCUAUGAAAACACUCCCACAGUUCUUUUGGUCACAGCCGUUAACACUAAACGUCUCGGAGGUAACCUGGCACUGAGUUCUAUGUCUCCCACACGGGUUUUCAUGGACUAUGAUGUCCAACCAACAAUUGAUUACUUCGCCUGGUAUGUACCACCGUCUAUAUAAGUUUAUGUUGAGCACACAUUUAUUCAAAUUGAAGUUAUUGACUGAAGCUAUGAUUUCUACUUAUUGUUAGGCUCUCCUCGAACCCAGAGAUUGCUAAGCAGGUUAGUGCAGAGGUGGUCACUAAGCGGGAGACGAUGACCAUAUCUGACAUCUUCUCCUACAUGACUCUGGAAUCUGCAAAGGAUGCCUUUUUUGAGUGCACUGCCACGAUUGAUGAUGUGGUUCAUGGAUCUGCUUGGUACUAUAUUGCAUGCACUGGGUGUCAUAGUAAGGCUACCAAAGGCGCAAAUUCAUUGAUUUGCACGAACCCAAGAUGUGUGAAGGAUACCACAGCUGGAGUUGCACAGUAAGUUCAUUGGCAUCGAUAAUCAAUUACACUCUCUCUUAUAUAAUUUUUGGAUUAUUGACUUCUAAAACUUACGUAACAGGUACCGUGCAAAGAUUUCGGUCUAUGACAGCAGUGAACAAGGUUUUUUUGUCCUGCUUGGUGAUGCUGGUUUUCAGUUGACUGGGAGGCAUGCAUCUGAGUUGGUCAGCAGCUACUUUGAGGUAUAUAUCUAUCAGUUUAUACUCUCAAAUGAUUGAAACUCACAUUAUUGUUCUUGAAUGCAAGGCCAAUAAAGACAAAGGCCCUGACCAUGAAGUGCCUGUCCCGGAAGCUCUGAUCAGCAUAGUCGGACAGACCCAUAAGUUCUGUGUAAAAGUUACAGACCACAACUUCUCUGGCAACACCCGAGCUAUCACUGUCACCAAGAUCCUCCCUCCGGAGACACCAUCACCCACAAAAGGCUCCGUUGAUAACGCUAUUGCUGCAACAUCCAUGGAAGCAGUGCAGACUGGAAGUGAAGUGUGUGGGACUUCAAAAAGCCGUGGAGAUUCUGCAGAUGAAGAGAGUAAGAGAACGUUUGACAGUGUUGAUCCAGAGAAAGUCAAACGGGCAAGGUGUGAGAAAUAAUGAUUCAGUUCGAUGAUUCUUAAGUUUUUGCAUUGAACUUCAAGUAUUAUGUUGGUUUUUGCACGUUUGCUUCAGUUUGGUACUAUUUUGGUUUUUAACAACACUUUGCUUUGUUUCUUUUCAUUUCAAACUUUGGAUUUUAAUCGAUUAAACUAUCCUUCCUAUAUAGUUUACUCAGAUCAAUUGUUUUCAUGUUUAAAUUCCUUUAUAUACACCAAGUGAUUUGGCCUCAUCAAUAUCUUGCUAGACUUAUUUAUUUCCAUAAUCCAUACACAAUUUGAACUCCACGUAGCCAUCACACACGCAGAUCACACAGCAUGA